UUUUCGGGUACCGCGGCCCGCGCCGGUCAUUGCUCUGUAGCUGGCUUUCCCCUGCCCGUUUGCGAGCUCUCUCGGUCCAUGGCGAUUUGGAGAUUCCCUCUCCGCUUGAUUCACUAGGGUGGUGGUCAGGAGUCUGGCUUCCCCGCGCCCUCCUGCUCCGAGCCUUUUCCCCUGCCGGAGGUCUGCAGCAUCUGCUGGCCCCCGAUCCCGCCCCGGCCUAUUUCCCCGGUUAUGUCCGUUAGAUCUGCUGCUUAGUCCCUUUGGGAUCUUCCAUCUGGGUGUUUAUGGAUACUUGCCUGAUAAUGAUUUUUGGUUAGUUGUGUGUGCCACUGCCAUGUAGUAUCAGUGCAUAGCUCUUUUUUAGUUUCAGCGUGAUCUUCAUAGUAAUUACAUUUGAAAGAUCAUUGUAAUUCUAAGUUCAAGUCAGCGUAAUUUAGUUUAUUCUCCACACCUUUUUUGUGUGUAUUCUAUUCUCUUUUCUUGAUAUUGAAUUCAUAGUGUUAAACUCAGCGUUUUACAUGGAUUUUUUCAGUGUAAUUCUUAGUGUAUUUACAGUGUA